rnacentral:pre_miRNA from 1 species
CAACUACUCCCUCUGUCCCAAAUUUCUUUUCUUAGAUUUGUCUAGAUACGGAUGUAUCUAAUACUAAAAUGUGACUUGAUACAUCCGUAUCUAGAGAAAUCUAAGACAAGAAUUUUGGGACGGAGGGAGUACUUU